rnacentral:lncRNA from 1 species
CUUACUGCUGUUCUCUUUUAUUCCAAUCUCGGCUCCCUUCCGAAAGCUCGUCAAGAUGCGCGCCAAGGUAGGAUGAACCACUGCUCUCUCCAUACCACAGGAUCACCAAGGCUGUAUUCUCUAGUUGUGCUCUGUCUAGGCUCCAGAUUGUGAUGACAGAAACAGGGCUCUAUCCCUUUGCAUGAAGCAUGUCUUCCUCGGAUCAACUCGGAUAGUGUAUUGUCACAAAUGCGCUCAUGUAGUAUUGCCAGGAGGAGAGCUGUACAGCUGUGAUUGCAACUUGUCUUGUGCCCUGCAUCAGAGCACUUGUCUUGGGGAUUUGCCCAUGCUAAGUUUCUGCCGUAGCCUGUGGUGAUUGACGAUCGGAAUUGAUGUGCUCUGUCUGUGGAGAACCGCGGGGUCGGAGGCCCUCGAUUUGGUGUUUUAGCUAGGUGCGAACACUGGUCUGAUUCUCACUUAUUUGUGUCUUGCAGUGGAAGAAAAAGCGUAUGCGCCGGCUAAAGAGGAAACGUCGACGCCAGCGCUCAAAGUAGACUCUCGGCCCAAGGUGCUGAUGGGUGGGCGGAUUGGUGGAGGAGGAGCAAUGAACAGGAUGGGAGGUUGAUGUGUCCUGUGAGUGGGAGAGUGAAGAGAGGAUGAUGCACAAUAAUGUGUACACUAUGUGACUCCUGGAUCUCAGAUGCUGUAAACCAGAUAGACAUCAGGCCAAGUGUAGUCCUCGACUGACUUGCACCCGCCCCUGAGGCACUGUACAUCCACAAGCGCCGCUAGCGCCAA